CUUCGCGCCCAAAUGAAGAAGUAGUAGUCGUGGCCCGGGGAAAAUAGGAUUUCCGAUGAUGAAUGUACAAUAAGUACACUUUGGCAGAAAUCACUUGCAUAAUACUAUGAAGGGACAAAAGGGCAUUGGAAACUGAUUUAUUGAUCAGCGAGUGCUUUGCCAAAAUAUUGUAAUAGAAUAGUUUUCUUUAACUAAAGCCUAUACAAACCUAACAAAUAGAGGUUGCAGAACACAAAACACAAAAAUAAUCUAUGCAUAAAGAUAUAUAAUUACAUUAGAAAAAAUAAAAAAAUAUUUACACGUCAGCUGCACAUUUCCCACAAAAUAAUCUAUGCAUAAACACAAAUAAUUACGUUAAGAAAAAUAAAAAAGAACGAUUACACUUAAGCUGCAUGUUUCCCGCCUAAAAGGGCAGUAUAGUCUUUUCAACCGACUGCUCCUUUUUAUUAGUAUAGAUUAGUUUUAUAAUAAA